UGCAGUCGAGCGGGCCCUUCGGGGUCAGCGGCGGACGGGUGAGUAACGCGUGGGAACGUGCCUUCUGGUUCGGAAUAACCCUGGGAAACUAGGGCUAAUACCGGAUACGCCCUUUUGGGGAAAGGUUUACUGCCGGAAGAUCGGCCCGCGUCUGAUUAGCUAGUUGGUGGGGUAACGGCCUACCAAGGCGACGAUCAGUAGCUGGUCUGAGAGGAUGAUCAGCCACACUGGGACUGAGACACGGCCCAGACUCCUACGGGAGGCAGCAGUGGGGAAUAUUGGACAAUGGGCGCAAGCCUGAUCCAGCCAUGC
rnacentral:rRNA from 1 species